UACAGAGGCCUCAAGCGUUGUUCGGAUUCAUUGGGCGUAAAGGGUGCGUAGGCGGCGCGGUAAGUCGGGUGUGAAAUCUCGGAGCUUAACUCCGAAACUGCAUUCGAUACUGCCGUGCUUGAGGACUGGAGAGGAGACUGGAAUUUACGGUGUAGCGGUGAAAUGCGUAGAUAUCGGGAGGAACACCAGUGGCGAAGGCGACUUCCUGGCCUGUUCUUGACGCUGAGGCGCGAAAGCUAGGGGAGCAAACGGG
rnacentral:rRNA from 1 species